UGGAAACGAUUGCUAAUACCUGAUAAUGCUUUUAAGUUAAAGAUUUUAUAUCACCUAAAUAUGGGCUUGCAUCCGAUUAGCUAGUAGGUGAGGUAAUGGCUUACCUAGGCAAUGAUCGGUAGCUGGUUUGUGAGAAUGAUCAGCCACACGGGAAUUGAGAACGGGACCGACUCCUACGGGAGGCAGCAGUGAGGAAUUUUCCGCAAUGGGUGAAAGCCUGACGGAGCAAUGCCGCGUGAAGGAAGAAGGCCUUAGGGUUGUAAACUUCUUUUCUCAUUGAAGAAGUUCUGACGGUAUUUGAGGAAUAAGCAUCGGCUAACUUCGUGCCAGCAGCCGCGGUAAUACGAGGGAUGCAAGCGUUAUCCGGAAUUAUUGGGCGUAAAGAGUUUGUAGGUUGCUUAAUGUGUUUAACGUUAAAUAUUAGAGCUUAACUUUGAAGUUGCGUUAAAAACUAUUAGACUUGAGUAUGGUAGAGGUAAAGGGAAUUCCCAGUGUAGCGGUGAAAUGCGUAGAUAUUGGGAAGAACACCAAUGGCGAAAGCACUUUACUAGGCUAAUACUGACACUGAGAAACGAAAGCUAAGGGAUCAAAAAGGAUUAGAUACCCUUGUAGUCUUAGCCGUAAACAAUGGAUACUAGGUGGUGCACUUGUACUGUCGUAGCUAACGCGUUAAGUAUCCCGCCUGGGGAGUACGCUUGC
rnacentral:rRNA from 1 species